rnacentral:rRNA from 1 species
CACGGGGGGAGCAAGCGUUGUUCGGCAUCCCUGGGCGUAAAGGGCGUGCAGGCGGUCAGGUAGGUGGGAUGUGAAAUGCCCCGGCUCACCCGGGGACCGGCAUCUCAUACUGCUUGGCUUGAGUACGGGAGAGGAUGUGGGAAUUCCUGGUGUAGCGGUGAAAUGCGUAGAUAUCAGGAGGAACACCGGUGGCGAAGGCGCACAUCUGGCCCGAUACUGACGCUGAGGCGCGAAAGCUAGGGGAGCAAACGGG